UCGAAAAAACAUGAAAAAAAACAAAAAUUACCUCAAUUCCAAAGUCUUUCAAGUCAAAAUAAAUCUUCAAUUGCAAUCAAAAUAUGUAGUCUAAUUUGAUUAGAUACACGUGACACUAAUAAAAAAAAUCAAAUUUAUUUGAACUAAAAUAAUAUCAACAAUGGUUUAGAGAAAGUAAUAAAAGUGAGGGUUAGAUAUUUUUUUUAGAAUGAAAAAAUGAAAUUAACAGAAUUGCGUCAAGUGAAAUCAGAUUGCAUUUUAGCAACCGUGAAAAAGAAACAUGCUUGAGAUUUUAUCGCCGGGUAUUGUACAAUAAGGACUUUCAUCAUAUGGCUACCGAUCGCUUCCUGGUUAUAUGUUCAUACGCUUACGAUGUAAGUACUAUACGAAAUGUAAGUACUACACGUUCAUACGCUUCCUUCACUAGAAAUGUUUUUUUUUUGGGUUCUAUUACGAGGAGACUAAUUUUCGGUGCGAUUUUGCAUGAGUAUCUCGAUGGCAACAUCCCUCCCACUUGAGGUUUUUUCUAUAUCCAAGGUUCAAAAUCGAGACCUUGGUUAAGUAGCAAGAGUCGCUUAACCACUCAUGCCAACCUCAGUGGGUUCGUUCCUUCGCUAGGAAUGUGGGUGUUACUUUCUAACUUUCCAUUUUGGAGCAAUGUGGGUUUUUCUUUCUAACUGUCUAUUUUGGAGCAAUGUGUGCUUGUAAUUACUGGCGUCCAGUUUAGGUUGUACGUGUGGUUUUUAUUGUGUGGCUUGAGGGCAAUUUGUUCCGGUGUAGUUUUGUCGUGGAGAUGACUGUUCAAGUGUGUAUUGAUUGUUGUAGCGUUGUCAACGAUCUCGUACUCGGAAGAGUGUGGCUUGUGAGAGUCUCGCUGUCUUCAGGCCUGGUCAUUAAUGGAUGCAUAGGUAUACAUGUAUCUCUACAUGCAUAUUACAUGAAACGACGACGUUUCUUAAUAAAAGAAACACGCUCUAUUUAUAUUACCUGCCCAGAUUUUUUGCCAUUUUCUCUCUCCUCUAACCUCUCUCCAUUUUUCUCUCUCCUCUAACCUCUCCCCAAUUCCUCUCUCCAGGAUCUCGAAUUUGCAGAUGACUUCGCCGGAGUUCAGAGUUUCAAAGAACGACGUCGGAGAACGCGUUUGCUAGAUCGGAGUCGUUUUGAGCUGGAGAAGAAGAUGAAGAGGCGCUUCAUUGGGAGGCGGUUGAGAGGCUUCCUACCUACGCUAGGGUUCGCCGUGGAGUUAACCGGAAGGUUCUAGGUGAUAUUAAAGAGAUCCAUGUUGGUAAACGUGAAGCUGAUGAAAAUUAUUUUGGAUCGACUUUUUAACUCCGUUGAGAAUGAUACCGAGUUGUUCUUCGAACUGAUUUGAAGAUUCGCCGAUGAGACCAUAGCAGAAUUUAACAAGGAGGAAAAUAGACAGAAUCGGAGAAGAAGUGGAGGAGAAGUUGGUGAACUCAAUCCGUCUGCAUUUGGUGGUAGAAAAUUUAUCGACGAAGAAGGGAAAAUAAGAACUAUUAAGAUGGAGAAAAGUUGCAGAUGAGAGAGAAAGAAACAUAGAGGAAAGAGGAACAUAGAAGAAGAAAAAGAUUCAUCAAUGUUCAUAUUUUUUAUUUGUUUAUUUUCCGAAUAAUAAUUUUCUACCGAAAUGUAGCGUAGUGAUUAAACUUGUGCAGACGUACUAGAGUUUUUGAUAUAUUAAUUAAUAUUAUUUAAUUAGUCUAAAUAUUAUUUCUCAAAAGAUAAGUAUGAAGAAUGAUAUUUUUUUCA